rnacentral:lncRNA from 10 species
CUCCUGUAGCCCCCCACCCCCUGACAGGCCCCGGUGUGUGAUGUUCCCCUCUUUCUGCCCAUGUGUUCUCAUUGUUCAACUCCCACUUAUGAGUGAGAACAUGUGGUGUUUGGUUUUAUGUUCCUGUGUUAGUUUGCUGAGAAUGAUGGUUUCCAGAUUCAUCCAUGUCCCUGCAAAGGACAUGAACUCAUUCUUUUUUAUGGCUGCGUAGUAUUCCAUGGUGCAUAUGUGCCACAUUUUCUUUAUCCAGUCUAUCAUUGAUGGGCAUUUGGGUUGGUUCCAAGUCUUUGCUAUUGUGAAUAUUGCUGCAAUAAACAUACGUGUGCAUGUGUCUUUAUAGUAGAAUGAUUUAUAAUCCUUUGGGUAUACACCCAGCAAUGGGAUGGCUGGGUCAAAUGGUAUUUCUGGUUCUAGAUCCUUGAGGAAUAAUCAAAACCACAAUUAGAUACCAUCUCACGCCAGUUAAAUUAGUCCUCUUUAUAUUUUAAGAAAACAUUUGUUUUGCCCUGUGAGUGUUGUUGGAUUGCACAUAUUCAGAUUAUCAUGAGAUAUUCCCAUCUGCUGUAGUAAACGUGGAAAUUUUGAAGGUGUCUGACAAUAGUUUUGGUCCUGGAGUACUAAAAGUAUCCAGAUAGAGUUCAUGUUUUCCAUAGUGAUAAAUGCAACCAAAGCUAUUAGCAAGUUGUACUGCUAGAACAUGUUACGUGUUUUUUACACAUAUGUCAUAAUAUGUUUUUCAGAUUCCUGGAAGAAAUCCCAAUGAACAGGGGUCAUUAUCAGGCCACAUUUCUGGUAUCUGUGGUAAGUAAUGAUGUUCACUUUAACCCCAUCACAGACCAUUUGAUCUUCAUAUAUCUAGGUAAGUGAUGUCUGUUUACGUGAACUGUUUAUCAUGUGCUUUUAUAACAGUGAUUUUUGUAAGUAAUGACAGUAUUUCUAGUUCUAGUGACCAUGUUAUAUUGUUUUUAAUUUAGAGAAAACUUAUGGUUUACGCUGUGAGUAUCAAAUGAUUUGCGUGUACACAGAUAACAACGUGGUGUGCUUCAUAGUAGUAACUGUGGUAUCCUUGCAGAUAGGUAGUCAAGAAAAAAUGGUGUGUCCUUCAAGGUUGUAGACCUUGGGAAUACUGCAAAAUUCCAUGUAGAUUUAUGUCUUCUGCAAUGAUGACAGCCAACAAGUUAUUUGCAGGGUUCUGGUGGAAGAGUUGUGUCCACAGACACAUUUGUCAUAAUGUGGUUUCAGGUUCCUCUCAAGGGGUCAUGGGAAACCUCAUCAUGAUCAACAAUGGGACAUUGCUGGUAUCCAAGCCAAUUAUGAUGUGGGCCUUAAACACCCUACAAAAAUGUGAUCUACAGAAAUGUAGGUAACUGUAGAUGGUUUUCCUAAUUUUUGUGUUGCCAUAUUUUGUGCAGGUAUUUAGUUAAGGAAUUAUAUUUUCCCAACCAACGCAGGUAAGCAUCAGUCAUUAUUUUAGAGUUUAGUUAUAAUGUGUUUAGUCUUAUAGUGAGGGAGGGAUAUGCAGGUAUCCAGGUAAGUUUUCCUACUGUUUCCCACCACGUUAUUGACCAUGAGACUUCAACAUCAUCAAGAGAUGAUGGUGCCACUACAUUGUUGACAUUGAAGUCAUGGCAAAUCCAAGUAGUGUUGAAGGUUCCCUGCUGAUGGAAGUGCCCAGAAUUAUUUGUGUCUUGUCUUUUUUUAUGUAAAACAAAUUGUUUCCUUAAACACACUUGAGCAAUGUGUUUUUUAGUUUUCUGUAAUGAGCUCACAAUCAAGCUUAACAAUAGUCAUUAAUGGAACCGUGCUGUAACCUGCUAAUUGAGAAAGUGUGUUUCCCACAAUCAGACCAUUAGAUCUUUAUAUUUCCAUGUAAGUGAGGAUGGUGUCCUUAACACUUGUCUACCAUGUAUUCCUGCAGGUAUCCUGUUAAGUUCUUUCCUAGUAUACAGGUAGAAGAUUAUGUGAUAUUAACACAUUAGCAACCUUCCUAUUUUCAGAUAUGUAGGUGAUUAAUGAUUUUUUUGAGACUCUUCUUGUAACCUUGUGUUUGUCAUGCAUGCAGUUAAGAAAUUACUUUUUCCCUAACAUUACUAGUAAGAGUGAGAUUUUACUGUGUUCUUGUUUAGACAUAAUGUGUAUUUAUCAAUUGUAGUGAUAUAUGGAUAUGCGAGUAUCCAGGUAAUUUAUCAUAUUGUCCAUCACUGUAAUGCUGAGAUUUUUGUAGGUAUCACUUCAAGAGAGGAAAGUUUCUCUUACGAGUGUUUUCCCUUGGCAUUAUGCAAGCAUCCAGUUACCUUUGAUAGGCCCUGAAAUGAUGAAAGAGACGAAGGGAAUUUGCAGGUGUACAGGUAGAAUGAGACAUUUAGGAAACACAUUUUCAACAGUAUAUUUUUUAGGUUCAUUUGAAGAGGUCACAGUGAGCCUAUCAGUAAUAGUUAACAGGGGUCAUUGCUCGUAUGGAUGUGCAUGAUAAUGUGGGCCUAAAACACAGCCCAGCCCAUCUGAUCUUCCCUUAUAUAGGUAAGUGGUGGUGUCCCUAACACUUCUGUUACUAUGAUUUUGUUGUAGCUGUUCAAGUAAGAAAUGAUAGAGCUCUUACCAAUUUAAAAAAACAUUAUUUUUCUCACUUUUUAUAUUUUAGAAUAACUUUAUGAUUAACCUCUGAGUUUUGAGUGAUAGUGCCUAUCCUGGUUAUUGGUGUUUCUUACCACAGCAGUAACCAGGGGAUUUUUACAGGUGUCCUGUCAAGAAAUGACCGUCUUACCUGACAGUGGUAUUGAUCUUGCAUUAUUACAAGUAUCCAGGUAGAGUUUAUGUGUUCUGUAAUGAUGGAGUGACGAAGGUUAUUUUCAGAUGUCUUGGUGGAAAUGUUUGUGUCCUUUAACACAUAUUUCACAAUGUGUAUUUCAGGUUUCUGUAGUGAGACCCUGAUAAACCUAACAAUGGUUGGUAUGGCAGACAUUUCUGGUAUGCAGGCAAGUGAUGAUGUGUUCUUUAACCACAUCAUAGACCAUCAGAUCUUCUUAUAUCUUUUUUUUUUUUUUUUUUGACAGAGUCUCGCUUUGUCACCCAGGCUGGAGUGCAGUGGGGUGAUCUCGGCUCACUGCAGCCUCCACCUCCCAGGUUCAAGCGAUUCUCGUGCCUCUGCAUCCUGAAUAGCUGGGAUUACAGGUGUGCACCACCACAUCCUGCUGAUUUUUGUAUUUUGAGAGAUGGGGUUUUGGCACGUUGGCCAAGCUGGUCUCGAACUCCUGGCUUCAAGCAGUCCACCCACCUUGGCCUCCCAAAGUGCUGGAAUUACAGGCGUGCACCACCACGCCCGGCCAGAUCUUCAUAUAUCUAAGUAAGUGUUAUACAUUUACCUAAACUUUUUUACUGUGUGAUUUUUUUCCAUAGGUACUCAAGUAAGAAAUGAUAGUCUUUACUAACUACAGCAACCAUGUUAUCCUGCUGUUUUAUAUUUUAGAGAAAAUUUAUGUUUAACUUUGUGAUUGGCGAGCUAUUUGCUAUCCAAGGAAUUAACCAUGGAGUUGCAUGUCAUAGUAGCAAUUGUGGGUUUGUUUGCAGGUAAGUAGUAGAGAGAAAAUGGUAUCUGUAACAGUGCUAUAGACCUUGCAGUACUGCAAGAUUCCAGGUAUACUUGAUGGUUCUUGGAAUGAUGGUAGUGAAUAAGCUUAAUUGUGGGGUUCAAGGAAAAAAGCUGUGUCUACACACAUUUGUCAUAAUGUGUUUUUAGGAUCCUGUCAAGAAGACAUGGUAAACCUCAUCAUGAUCAAGAAUGAGACUUUGCUUGCAUCCAGGUAAGUAAUGACGUGGGCCUUAAGCAAGCACUCAGAAAACAAUCUGAUCAUCAGAUCUAUAAUUAAGUGUGGAUGGUGCUUCUAACUUUUGUGUUACCAUGGUUUUUUUGCAGGCAUUCAGUUAAGAAAUGAUGUUUUCCCAACCAAGGCUAGUAAGCAUUAGCCCUUAUUAUUUUACAGUUUAGAUAUAAUGUGUAGUAUCUAACCAAGCUGGGCAUAGUUGCAUGUGCCUAUAGUAUGAGCUACUCUGGAGGCUGAGGCGGGAGGAUCACUUGAGCCCAGGAGGUUGAGGCUGAAGUGAGCUGUGAUCACACCACUGCACUCCAACUUGGGUAACAGGACAAAACCCUGUCUCUUAAAAAAAUAAAAGAGAUAUAAUGUGUGUUUAACAUUAGUCUCUAAGGAGGGCUAUGCCGGUAUCCAGGUGAGUUAUCCUACUCUUCCACAUUAUAGUAUGAACAAUGAGAUUUCUAAGUCAAGCGAUGAUGGUAUCUCUAACAUUAGUGUUGAUCUCAAAGUUCUACUAAGAUCGAGGUAGUGUUGGUGGUUCCUCUAAUGAGGAAAAUGACUGAUACAAGUUGCAGGUGCCCCGUCCUUUUUUGCAGGUAAAACAGCGUGUUUCAUUAAACACAUUCAUCAUUGAAUGUGUUUCUUCAGGUACCCAUAGUCAUGAAAUCAUAGUGAACCUAACAGUGGUCAUUUAUGUGUUCUUGGUAGUAACCAGGUCAGUGAUAAAUUGGGUCUUACCACACUACAGACCACCUGUUCUUCAGAUUUUUAGGUAAGCAAGUAUGGUCCCUCUAACACAGUGUUACUGUGUUUGUCUUUUUCAGGCUUCCCAAAAGUUGUUUGAUAGUAUACAGGCAUGAGAUGGUGUGACUCUAACUCAUUAGAUGCCUUCGUCUUUUCAGUCAUCAUGUGAUGGAAAGAAAGCUAUCAACUUCAUUCCUGAGACUUCCUGCAACACAGCUUAGUAUGUCUAGCAUGGGCAUGCCUGCUGAAGUUUGGAACUUCCCAUCAAGGAAACAGGAAAAUGCCAUUGGCAAUGAGCUGAAGACUGAUUUACUCUACCAGUUUGGAACAUCUGUUAUUGCUGCUACUACGGUUUCUAUCACUGUUUGAUGCUGGGACUCUUAAGCUCCAACCACGUUUUCACCGAGCUGAGUCGCCUUCUUAUCACCCCUUUCUGGAGCAGCAGGACAUCUGGGGAUGAGAAGAUGGAGAGAUCAUCCUUAUAUAAUGUUGCAGUCUGGAAGCAUCACUCUCAAAAAGCCAUUGUAGAGAAUCCAAGCCGAGUUUAAGAGUGCUGUGGAAAUACACUGCUGCUACUGCUGUUUCUAUUACUGUUUGAUGCUGGGACUCUUAUGCUCCAACCACGUUUUCACCCAGCUGAGUCGCCUUCGUAUCACGCCUUUCCAGUUUUGAUAGACUAGAAAAAUGACAAGACUCCAAGUCCUUGAAGAGGAGGAAAAGUGUGAAGAAAACAAAAAAGGGAGAUUUAUGUCUGCUUCACCAUUUUGCCCAAGACUUGACCUGUCAUACACUGAAGCUCAGAGAGGAAGAAAGGACCGUGUGAGAGAAGAAGGGAACAGCCUUUCAUCCAUAGGAGAAGUUCGUCUAUGACAAAGCCACUAGCUCCAUGUGGCCGCUGAGCACUCAAAAUGUGGCCAGUCUGAAUUGAGAUAUGUUGUUAGUAUAAAGUCCACAUCGGCUUUUUGAGCACUUUGUAUGAGAAAAAAGAAUACCAAAUAUCUCCUUAAUAAUUGUUACAUUGAUUAUAUGUUGAACUGAUAACAUUAUGGAUAUAUUGGAUUAAAUAAAAUAAAUUAUUAAAAUCAAAUAAAAAAUAAAAUCAAUUUCACCUGUUU